UAUGGCGGUUGGUCGGUCGCUGGACUAUGGCGGUUGGUCGGUCACUUGACUAUGGCGGUCAGUCGGUCACUUGACUAUGAUGGUCCGUCACUGGACUAUGACGGUCGGUCACUGGACUAUGGUGGUCAGUCGGUCACUGGACUAUGACAGUCGGUCGCUGGACUAUGGCCUUGGUCGGUCACUGGACUAUGGCGGUCGGUCGCUGGACUAUGGCGUUUAGUUAUUGGGCCACAUGUCAUGGUCCGGCCGGUGAUUUGUUACUACAGUCAUGUGUCAUGUCAGACAAGUUAUUGCUGCGGCUGAGUAAACCAAGACUAACACAGGACCACAGAUCCAUCAGGGAGGGCGCCGUGGGGAUAUGAGAAGGAUGUGACUACAGACAUGAAGAUCCUACCUAUGAACCUGACCGCCCUCCUUAGGAAGGAAUUGAAGUUACAUCCGCCCGCGUUGAUAUUCGCUUCUGCUCUGAUCCCAUUUUUCCUCUUGGACAGACAACAGUACAGGACGCCUUCACCCACCAUGAUCUAAAGGAGAAGGAAAGAUGAUCAGUCCAUAAAUCAUAAACGUCUACAAUACAUAAGACCGAAUAAAGAGCAGAUGCCGGGCACGAUUUGGUGGUAAAAUAAGUGACGUAACUACAAAGUACAAUUGGUGGCGCAAAAAACAACAACAAGCCUCAUGUGUCUAUAGGUGGAAAAUGAAAGUGUUAUGGCUACUAGAAGGCUUUAUUUUAAUAAAAUGUUAAGAACUCCAUCUCAGGGGCCCCUGUUCCUGCAAACAGAUCGUGACGCCUGCAGACAAGCCCUCAGCCUCUGAUGCUAAAAGCAACGCCAGAGAUGGGAUAACUAAGUGACUUCUUCUGUCACCACUAUAAACCAGAUCCUUAUACUGAAGGACAUUUUUCAGCAGUUUGCUCUACAGCAGCUCUUCUGUGGGAAUGGACCAGACGGGGCUUCACCCCACACACAUCAAUCAGCCUUGGGCCCCCCGUUGUCCUGUUCCUGGUUAUCCUGUCUUGAAGAACUAUUGACAGGUAGGAAUCACUAAAUCUAAACUAAACCAAUCACUCAGAAAGACAGAGAAGUGACCUCAGGAUCAGAGCACUGGGCGCAUCACCCAAAAAUGAGAAACUCAAAUAUAUUGAAAUAUAAGAAAAAUGGGCGACCUGUGGACUAUCAGUAAGAAUCCCACAAGCAACGAUUCCAAUGUAAAGUCAUGAGAAAAAGAAAAAUAUAGAUAUGUUUCUAUUCCAACAAAGCAAAACAACGCAGCGCGCUCUCACAUGUACAGUGAUGAUAAAAGGAAAGUUCUGUAAUUUUAUGUAUCAAGACAUAA